rnacentral:rRNA from 1 species
AUGAACGCUGGCGGCGUGCCUAAUACAUGCAAGUCGAACGAGUUCUGAUUAUUGAAAGGUGCUUGCAUCUUGAUUUAAUUUUGAACGAGUGGCGGACGGGUGAGUAACACGUGGGUAACCUGCCCUUAAGUGGGGGAUAACAUUUGGAAACAGAUGCUAAUACCGCAUAAAUCCAAGAACCGCAUGGUUCUUGGCUGAAAGAUGGCGUAAGCUAUCGCUUUUGGAUGGACCCGCGGCGUAUUAGCUAGUUGGUGAGGUAACGGCUCACCAAGGCAAUGAUACGUAGCCGAACUGAGAGGUUGAUCGGCCACAUUGGGACUGAGACACGGCCCAAACUCCUACGGGAGGCAGCAGUAGGGAAUCUUCCACAAUGGACGCAAGUCUGAUGGAGCAACGCCGCGUGAGUGAAGAAGGCUUUCGGGUCGUAAAACUCUGUUGUUGGAGAAGAAUGGUCGGCAGAGUAACUGUUGUCGGCGUGACGGUAUCCAACCAGAAAGCCACGGCUAACUACGUGCCAGCAGCCGCGGUAAUACGUAGGUGGCAAGCGUUAUCCGGAUUUAUUGGGCGUAAAGCGAGCGCAGGCGGUUUUUUAAGUCUGAUGUGAAAGCCCUCGGCUUAACCGAGGAAGUGCAUCGGAAACUGGGAAACUUGAGUGCAGAAGAGGACAGUGGAACUCCAUGUGUAGCGGUGAAAUGCGUAGAUAUAUGGAAGAACACCAGUGGCGAAGGCGGCUGUCUGGUCUGUAACUGACGCUGAGGCUCGAAAGCAUGGGUAGCGAACAGGAUUAGAUACCCUGGUAGUCCAUGCCGUAAACGAUGAAUGCUAGGUGUUGGAGGGUUUCCGCCCUUCAGUGCCGCAGCUAACGCAUUAAGCAUUCCGCCUGGGGAGUACGACCGCAAGGUUGAAACUCAAAGGAAUUGACGGGGGCCCGCACAAGCGGUGGAGCAUGUGGUUUAAUUCGAAGCAACGCGAAGAACCUUACCAGGUCUUGACAUCUUUUGAUCACCUGAGAGAUCAGGUUUCCCCUUCGGGGGCAAAAUGACAGGUGGUGCAUGGUUGUCGUCAGCUCGUGUCGUGAGAUGUAGGGUUAAGUCCCGCAACGAGCGCAACCCUUAUGACUAGUUGCCAGCAUUUAGUUGGGCACUCUAGUAAGACUGCCGGUGACAAACCGGAGGAAGGUGGGGAUGACGUCAAAUCAUCAUGCCCCUUAUGACCUGGGCUACACACGUGCUACAAUGGAUGGUACAACGAGUUGCGAGACCGCGAGGUCAAGCUAAUCUCUUAAAGCCAUUCUCAGUUCGGACUGUAGGCUGCAACUCGCCUACACGAAGUCGGAAUCGCUAGUAAUCGCGGAUCAGCACGCCGCGGUGAAUACGUUCCCGGGCCUUGUACACACCGCCCGUCACACCAUGAGAGUUUGUAACACCCGAAGCCGGUGGCGUAACCCUUUUAGGGAGCGAGCCGUCUAAGGUGGGACAAAUGAUUAGGGUG